GCAGCCAAGAGGAUUGGUUAUAACCUGUACUGCUUGGAGUGGAGGUGCCUAUGUGACUGUAUUAGUCAGUAGCACAAAAACAGAGAGCCUACUCCUGGUCCCGCUGAUUGUAUUUCCUAGCAUGAGCUAUCAUCUAGUUGGAGUGUUGUCCCUCUGUUGGAAGAUACUUCAGAUAUGGGAACAAUAGGGUUGAUCAACCCUAUGACUAAAGAUAAAACUGCUACCAAACAGACAUGAAGGCCAUUGUCUGCUGUGGUGAAGUUGGACCCUGGAGCAGAAGUGACCACCUCAUGAGAACCAGAUUGCUCCUCUCAAAUGAUGACAAUGACUACUUCAGACCAUGCUGCAGAACCAGAGCUGAGUGAGGACCAACCAAAAUACACCUGGAUCAAACUGCCUAAUUUUGCAGAUCUCUUGCCCCUACCCUAAUUCUUCCACUUUAACCUAAAAUGUAUGGCAGUGCCCUGACAGUCUUGGGGCUCCCUUGAUCAGUUCCUCAUUUCUCUUCCUUUCACAGCUACCUGUGUCUUUAACAUGUUGGAUGGCAGCUGUUCCCCAAGUCCCUUACAUUAACACUAUGUGAGCCCUGACCUUUGCUCUCAAACUUAAGCCAGAGGUGGACUUGGGCUGGGUUUGAAGGAGGAGACAGCCUGGGAGUUUGGUCAUCCAUUUUCUCCACUGUCAUUUGCCGGAAGCCAGUGUUACUGCUGGAUAUAUGGAGAUUUUUGGGUCACAUUACAGGGAUUUAUGUCCAUUCUUUCUCACUGUCCUGUGAAGGGAGAAGAGAAGAACCUGCACAAAGUUUGUUGGGGUUAGUCAUCUGUUUUUCUCAUGACAGUGUGUAACUCUUGCAUUAAAAAAAAAAAGUACCUAUCAAGGACUGGAGGCCACUCGAAGAUAGGCAAAUGAAGAGAACUUGAGCCUUCUGCUUUUCCUUUUAGCUCCUGGAACACAACUCAGCCCUCACAACAAAUGAAUGAUCUGUGACAAUGGGAACAAAGACAUUACACUCUCCA